GACGAACGCUGGCGGCGUGCUUAACACAUGCAAGUCGAACGAAGAGCGAUGGAAGCUUGCUUCUAUCAAUCUUAGUGGCGAACGGGUGAGUAACGCGUAAUCAACCUGCCCUUCAGAGGGGGACAACAGUUGGAAACGACUGCUAAUACCGCAUACGAUCUAAUCUCGGCAUCGAGGAUAGAUGAAAGGUGGCCUCUACAUGUAAGCUAUCACUGAAGGAGGGGAUUGCGUCUGAUUAGCUAGUUGGAGGGGUAACGGCCCACCAAGGCGAUGAUCAGUAGCCGGUCUGAGAGGAUGAACGGCCACAUUGGGACUGAGACACGGCCCAGACUCCUACGGGAGGCAGCAGUGGGGAAUCUUCCGCAAUGGACGAAAGUCUGACGGAGCAACGCCGCGUGAGCGAUGACGGCCUUCGGGUUGUAAAGCGCUGUUAAUCGGGACGAAAGGCCUUCUUGCGAAUAGUGAGAAGGAUUGACGGUACCGGAAUAGAAAGCCACGGCUAACUACGUG
rnacentral:rRNA from 1 species